AUAUGGGAAAAUGUUAGAUGUUUAAAAGAGCUGAGGUUCCCAUGUUUUCUUGAAAAGGCUGGAAUGACUGUUAAAUUGUGCAAUUAUGUUCUCCCCAGUAUUGGUCUCCCAUUGGUUAUCUACUUUGGUCAUGUGAACAUUCUGGAAUGUUCUGGAAUGUUUGCUUGUGUCAGGGUAGGUGAAGAGAGAGAGAAGGGGCAGACUAGAGGUCAGUUCAGUUAUUGGGCCAUUUUCAGUUGUCGUUCAAACAGAUGAAGUUCCAUUUGGCAUUACUGAUCUAUUGGUGCUGAAAUGUUGUCCAAGCUCAGCUUCCUCGCUGUGAAAUCAGGCAGAGCAGUGUGAAGCGUUGACCAAAGACCUUCUGGACUAAGGUGGAGCUCUUCCAGGAUGGAGUCAGAGGACAGCCUUGCAAACCGGUCAUACAUUUCCAUUACCAGUUGCUGCACAACAAAACAUCCCUGACUGUGGCUUACACAACAGUUAUUUCUUAUGA